rnacentral:rRNA from 1 species
UACAGAGGUCUCAAGCGUUGUUCGGAAUCACUGGGCGUAAAGGGUGCGUAGGUGGCAUGGUAAGUCAGAUGUGAAAGCCCGGGGCUCAACCUCGGAAUUGCAUCCGAUACUGCUGUGCUAGAGUACUGAAGAGGUGACUAGAAUUCUCGGUGUAGCAGUGAAAUGCGUAGAUAUCGAGAGGAAUACCAACGGCGAAGGCAGGUCACUGGGCAGUUACUGACACUGAGGCACGAAGGCCAGGGGAGCAAACGGG